GGUUUCGCUCUCUCUCUCUCUCUCUCUCUCUCUCUCUCUCAAAAUGUAAUAUAUUUUUGACUAUGAACACAGAUAUAAGGGUGACGAUGGUAUUCAUCCUGUUCUGUAGAUUCCUGAUAAUAAAUAUAUAGUAGUGCAUGCACAGCAUCUCCUUUUUCACAUCAAACUGCUCCUUCACGACUAGUUCCAUAUGUAGCAUCAAGUUAAAAGUUAAAGUUAAACCUAUGAUUUGCAUCUAACAUAUACAUAAGAUCGCAAAUUUCUAUUUCUUGGCUUGUCAUAUCAUAGAGCCACUUCACUAUUUGGCAAGUCUGUUAGAUUAAACUAUCAUAAUCAUAAACAUACAAGUUCUGAACUUUUGGAUCAAAAUAACUACUAAUUUUGCUUCAAAUAGGUAAUCAACAUCGCUAUCAUACUGGUCGUGGCACAUGAUGAAAGAUGAAUGAAAGAUUUUAUCUUUGAAGUCAUGAUACGGUGCAUAAUGAUGUUAUCCAAGCCACAUUUUGAAGAAAAAGAUUGGCUAAGUUUAGACGAGUAGCUUCACAGAAUGCAGAUACAGAUACCUCUCCUUCUUUAUCAGCAUCUUCCUGAUUGAUAUAUGAAUACUUCUAAGAAAACAUUAGAUUGUUUACCAAAAAUAAUCACUGUCAAAAUAUUCAAGGAAUUAUUGUCCGUGUAUUUUCAGGUAAUCUACGAACUCCUUAAAAUGAAUGAAGUCUUGUCUCUUUAAGUCAGCUCAUCACACUGAUUUGAACAUUUGGAUGACAUGAGCUUGUUAUUAGCUUUAGGCCUUGGAAUUGAAUAGCAUAGCUUGAUGGAUUUCAAAACCGAUUAAAACUUAGCGAUAUACUUUCAAUUUUUUUGAGUUCGUCAACCUAACACAUUUUUUUCUUGAUACAUCAUCAUUUGAGCGGUAUCCUAAUUAUGCCUUUUCUUAUUUUCAACUUCUGUCCUUAGUUGUUAAACUUUAUUCUUAAAGGCCAAAUCAACUGCUAGAUAUUGCUACCAAAAACAGCUGGAUAUUUUUCCUUAAUUUGUCCCCAUUUCUCGUUGUUCAUUGUAUCCAUCAGCAUAAGGAAACCAAACAGUGACCAACCAAAUAGAAAAAACCCAUACACACAGGAUCCUGUUAGAAAUCAAAAACCAAAUACACGAAGAAUGGAGUCCAUUGUUUUGAAAACCAGUACCUCCACCAUAACUAUAAAUUGACCCAAAAGUGAGGCUGUAUUAUUAUCUUACAUUGUUUUUCAAGGGUUAGCUUCCAUUAGAGAUAUGUUACGUAUGUGGCAAAUAGCUGUAGGGUCCCAGAAUGAAGAUGAAGACGAUGCUCAUGCAGACCUGAUCAAGGUUCUCAAAAAUCAAUAUCGAAUUUGAUGGUUUACCAAAGGGAAGGCAGAGGGUUUUGAAAGCCUAGUUUGUUUAGCUAAGAACCAACAAAAAUGAAAGCCGUGAUCCCACAAGAGGCUACUGCAGCUGCUGCUCGAGCAAUUUCACAGGCAGAAGUGGCCAUAGCCGAAGCUGAAGAAGCAGCUGCAGCUGAUGCAGAAGAGCACAAGCUUUUGAUAAAAGAAAAUAAGGGUUACAUGCAACAGAUGGAGAAUGGUGCCCGGCCCCUAAAAUAUAUUGGACAGUGUACAGAGUCUUUUGCCCACUUAACGGCAGGAUGAUGUAAAUUCCUAAAACCGUAGACUUAAGUCUUGUGCAAAUUUAUCAUGAUAACAUUUCUAAUUUUGUAACCACACAAGGAUAUAAUUUGUAACGUAGUCUGUGAUUGCUAAAAUGCUGAAACUCAGAAGAAUCCUCUUUAUAUCCUUUUGCUAGUGAAUCGAAGUCUUUCAA